rnacentral:rRNA from 1 species
AGAGCGAACGCUGGCGGCAGGCCUAACACAUGCAAGUCGAGCGCCCCGCAAGGGGAGCGGCAGACGGGAGAGUAACACGUGGGAACGUACCCUUCAGUUCGGAACAACCCAGGGAAACUUGGGCUAAUACCGGAUACGUCCGUAAGGAGAAAGAUUUAUCGCUGAAGGAUCGGCCCGCGUCUGAUUAGCUUGUUGGUGAGGUAACGGCUCACCAAGGCUACGAUCAGUAGCUGGUCUGAGAGGAUGAUCAGCCUCACUGGGACUGAGACACGGCCCAGACUCCUACGGGAGGCAGCAGUGGGGAAUAUUGGACAAUGGGCGCAAGCCUGAUCCAGCCAUGCCGCGUGGGUGAUGAAGGCCCUAGGGUUGUAAAGCCCUUUCGGCGGGGAAGAUAAUGACGGUACCGCAGAAGAAGCCCGGCUAACUUCGUGCCAGCAGCCGC